AACCAGGAUUUGAACUGUAACAGCUGGAUCCAGAGGGCUUACUUCUAAUCAGUAUAAGGCACUCCCUGCUGUUAAUGAGAAUGAAGUCUAUAAGGUCCUUUUACACUGGUCUGGUGCUUCAGAUAAAGAACUUAUCUCACUUGACUCUUUAGGAAAGGCAUGGCAAGUUUUAUGAUCUCUACUUGACAGCUGUGGAAACUGAUGUUCAAAAGUUAACUGACAUGUCCAGAGUCACACAGGUAAUAUACAUGGAAGAAUGGUAUGCAUUUCAUUUUAUUUUUAGUUUUGCAAAUUAUUUCAUAUAUGAUUUGAUGUCUUGUACUUUUACCCCCCUUCAAUUGUGGUAAUUUUGCCAUAUCAUAAAAUAAUUUAAAAACAUCAUGAUUCAUAUAAACUACAUGAUGUUAUAUCUUAUGGAUAUGCAUUAAGUUUUAAACCACUUCCCUAUUGCUGAACUUCUUAGUCUUCACUUAUUGGAGAGAAAGUAUUACUUUUGCUUUCAUUAACAUCCUUUUUCAUAAACUUAGAUCUUUGUCUGGAUAAAUCAUUACUUCCUGAGAACAGACUAAUUCUUAGACGUGGGUUACUGGGUCAAAGAUUAUAAACUCUUGCCUAUUAUCAAAUUGCUCUCCAAGACAUAUAACUACUUAAUAGUUGUUGAAAGUUGAAUGAAACAGAAAGGCUUUUAUCCCAGCAGCGUAUGAAAUCCCUUCUGUGUUAGUCUGAGUUUGGUGAAGAAAAUAGAACCACUGCAAGUUUUUUAGGGAAAAUAGUUUAAUACAGAAUUUAGGGCUUACAUAAAUGUGGGAAGAGUACAGAAGUAAGGUCCAGAAGCCUUUACCCAGAAGCACUUCGGCCUAGAGCACUGGAUCUGGUAGAGUCGGAGCUUGUGGAGAUGUCUGAGAAGCCAUCACAAGGGGUCAACAUGAUUGUAAAGUUGGAACUCAUGGAAAGGUCUAAAAUGCCACUGUCUCCUGCCACUAGGAUCUCUGGCUUCACAUCGCUUCUGCCGUCCAAAUCUCCUUUUCUCUCUUGCUGCUGCUAUGUAAGAAGUGCCCUUCACCUUCUGCCAUGAUUUUGAGGCCUCUUUUGCCAUGUGGAACUGUAAGUCCAUUAACUCUGUUUUUCUUCCCAGUCUCAGGUAUGUCUUUAUCAGCAGCGUGAAAAUGGACUAACACAAUAAUCUAACCCAAACACCGGUUAAUAUAUCUGAAUGUUCAUAUAUAUAUAUAUAUAUGUGAUGAACUGUAUGUGUAUAGCAUAUGUACACACACAUGAUAUAUCCCUAUAUAUGUAUAUAAAUGAUAUACAUAUAGGAUUCACAUAUAUAUUAUAUACAUAUAUAUAGUAUAUACUGAGUUAAUAUAUAUAUGAGUUCUAUGUCUGCCAUUUAUGAAUUGAGUAUUUUAUAUGUACUAAGCUUUGCUCUAAGGGGCUCACAUUAUUUUAGUAUUGAAUGCUUAUAACAUUCCCUCAAGGUGUGUAUUGACAGUCUUGCUUUGUAAAUGAGGUUAUUGAAGUUUAGAAAGGUUAAGUAAUUUGGUGAAAUAUGAUUAGUGGUAAAUGAUGAGCAAUGAAGCUUGACUUUGACCCACAGUCUUUCUAACUUUACAGCACUUACUUCUAAGCACUAUAUUAUAAAGUCUCCAGUGUAAAACAUACUCUGCCUUUAUUCUCUGGAACUUGUAAAACUUUCCCAGGAAUGACCCUUAGCAAUUUUGUCUAAUAUUUCAAAUUUACAAAGGAAAAAUCCAAAGCCUAGAGAAUUAGGAAUAUUCCACUUGGAAUAACUGAAAAGCCCAUAUUAUAUAUGCAAUUCCAAACCUAACCAGGAUGGGAUCUAUGUCUUUUUUUGUCUUUUGUUACCCAAAAACUAGCACAAAACUUAGUAUAACAAAUAGCAAUAUUUGGUGUAUGAAUGAAUGCUUGAAUGAAUGUAUAAAUGUAGCUACUUCCUAUUUAUAAAUCUUUGGUGAUUUUCCCAUUAUUUUUGGGACAAAAUCCUGACCUCUUAUACAAGUCUUAUACGUAGACUUCCAUGACUGAUCAGUCCUGAUGAACUCUCUGAUUGUGCAUAUACAUGAAAUAGGUACUUUAUACUCCAGCAGAGGUGAGUUGACUGACAAUUUUCAGAACAUGUAGUGUUUGCCUCCACCUUUCUGCAUUUGUUCAUGCUAUUACUGGCUGUCUUGAGCUUCCCUUCCUCUGCAUGUUGAGCUGAUAAAGUUCUUAGCUCCUGUAAGUGUUCCCAGGCCUAGAGGGAUUCUCCCUUCCUUGGUGUUUCUGUGGUAAUCUUUAUUAUUUUAAAUUCAGGUUCCACUGCUCACUGCUUGAAAGCUGGAUUUGAGAGACAAGAGUUGGUGGAAGGGAAAACAGGUUUAUUUGAAUAUAUCCAGCUGACAACCUGAGGAGAUGGUGACCUGAUGUCUCAAAGAGCACUGCCAAUUUGCAGUGUAGCCAAAGUGAUUUUAAGUGAGAAGGUGGCAUGGAAACUAUGUGCAAGAAUGGUACAGGGUUCAGGUUUGUGUGUCUUAUUUUGAUCACUCUCUUGAGUAAUGGACCAUCUGGAGGUCUGGCUGGCAUCAUCUUGACUGUCCUCAGGUUAUAAGUUAACUACUGCCGAAAAAUUUUCCUGGAAAAGAAAGAUUCUGCGAUCUCAGCUUCAUACCUUGGUUUCAAGAUUAGCCCCUGGAAUUCUCAAAUUAGCAUAU
rnacentral:lncRNA from 1 species